rnacentral:lncRNA from 1 species
UUGGCCGAGUACAGUUGCAUAUUCUCAAUCCCAAAAUAAGGUCAGCUGCAAGAAAUAUGACGUCACCCCGUUUUUUAGUCUGUAUAGAUACAAUGUUCUUCAAAGCAUUUGUGGGCGUUUGUGGAUACGACACAAGAGUUUUUUCCGAGGAAGCGAGAAUCGUUCAGUGAUCCGUGUCUCAUGUGCAAUUUAGUAAAGGUAGAUUGACUGUAAAACAAGGCAAAGCAUGGACCAGCGUCUCUUCUCGAAGACCUCACUACUCCUCACAGCCUCAUUCUCACUACUGAUCGUUAUGACGAAAGCUCUUCCCCACAUCGGGAGCCACAAGGUAAGUUCUGCGCGCUUGUUUCUCUCACAACUUCUUG